UACGUAGGGUGCAAGCGUUGUCCGGAAUUAUUGGGCGUAAAGAGCUCGUAGGCGGUUUGUUGCGUCGGCUGUGAAAUCCCGAGGCUCAACCUCGGGUCUGCAGUCGAUACGAGCAAACUAGAGUGUUGCAGGGGAGACUGGAAUUCCUGGUGUAGCGGUGAAAUGCGCAGAUAUCAGGAGGAACACCGGUGGCGAAGGCGGGGACUCUGGGCCGAUACUGACGCUGAGGAGCGAAAGCGUGGGGAGCAAACAGG
rnacentral:rRNA from 1 species